rnacentral:snoRNA from 1 species
AAUGCCCUUAGAGGCAUUGUAGGUGUGGCUGCUGUGCCACAUGUCUGUCAGUAGGUGGCAGAGGCUAUGCCUAUCCUCAGUGUUCUGAUCAUGAUUAGUAGGUUAACACU